rnacentral:tRNA from 1 species
AGGGGUAUAGCUCAGCGGUAGAGCACGUACUUGGCAUUUAUCAGGUCCUGGGUUCAAUCCCCAAUGCCUCCA